rnacentral:misc_RNA from 1 species
AAAAAAUAAGACGAAUUAUUGCAUAUAUAGCAAGCACUAAAAGAUAGCACUCUCCAAUGAGCUAGAUUGCGUUUGUUUUAUAGAUGAUUUGAGAAACGAGCAUGGAUUAUCGAUAUUACAUCAUAUAAUUAAGCUGGAUCGAAAAAGAUUAGCGCAAACAAAUGCAGGAUUCGUAAAAAUUUGAACAACAGGCUGAGGAAUAAGAUUUCAAAUCUUAGAAAUAGAUUUAAGCAUAAGACAUGAAAAUGAUUGUUCAAGUUCCAGUUGACUAGUCCAAUUCAUUGGGCUAUUAUAAUCGCCUAGAUGAAGUGGAGUACCAGUGCCCAUACUGGGUAAACCAACAGCAAGAUAAUGCCAACAGUGUUUGAUAUU